UUAACCGGCUCGAAUUGAUUUUUAACCUGGAUUAAACCUUCUGUGUUGACGAUUUCUAGCCAAGUUUUACGGGAAAUGGAUACCUACAAUCGUCCUUACGGAUAUGGAGAACAACCCUUGACACCUAUAGAGAAUGCAGACAACAGCAAAGGAUCAAGACAUCAUCUUCAGGUUUCUUACCUCACCUUCACUUCUGAGCUGGCUGUCGCACAGGUUAACACAGAAUUUGACCAGCAGAGGAUUUGACCAACACAGGAUUUGACCAACACAGGACUGGACCAACACACCAGCUAGAUAACAGCCUGGUAUACAGCCAACAGCAAAGGAUCAUGACAUCAUCUUGCAAGUAUCUUGCCUCACCUUUACUUCUGAGCUGAGCUGCACACAGGAUUUGACAACACAGGAUUUGACCAACAUUGAAUUUGACCAACACACUAACAGGAUAACAGCCUGGUAUACAGCCAACAGCAAAGGAUCAUGACAUCAUCUUGCAAGUAUCUUACCUCACCUUUACUUCUGAGCUGAGCUGCACACAGGAUUUGACAACACAGGAUUUGACCAACAUUGGAUCUGACCAACACACUAACAGGA